CCUACGGGUGGCAGCAGUGAGGAAUAUUGGUCAAUGGGCGAGAGCCUGAACCAGCUAAGCCGCGUGAGGGAGUACUGCCCUAUGGGUUGUAAACCUCUUUUGUCGGGGAGCAAAAGCCGGACGUGUCCGGCUGUGAGAGUACCCGAAGACAAAGCAUCGGCUAACUCCGUGCCAGCAGCCGCGGUAAUACGGAGGAUGCGGGCGUUAUCCGGAUUGAUAGGGUUUAAGGGGUGCGCAGGCGGAUUUUUAAGUCAGCGGUAAAAUCGUGGGGUUCAACCCUAUCCAGCCGUUGAAACUGGGGAUCUAGAGUGUGCGAGAGGUAUGCGGAAUGCGUGGUGUAGCGGUGAAAUGCGUAGAUAUCACGCAGAACCCCGAUUGCGAAGGCAGCAUACCGGUGCACAACUGACGCUCAGGCACGAAAGCGUGGGUAUCGAACAGGAUUAGAUACCCCUGUAGUC
rnacentral:rRNA from 1 species